AUUGCAGACGAUUGGUGGGUGUGUGUAUGUUAUCUGAUUUAUAUCGGUGGCAUUCGAUGCAUGGAUGAACUAAAUACUUUAGGCCUUGCGACUAAUGACUGCAGAUUAAGAAAAUUUAAAUAUUAGACAAUUGAAUACCUAAUUGAAAAUGGUGUUAUUUAGAAAGUUUUAAUUGCGGUUUUCAUAUAUCUGACAAUAUGAAGAAAAAAACGGACAAGUGGAAUUUGGACUCGCGCCCCGAGGAUCCUAUAUAAACUGGCACAAACAGGACUUCAAAAUACAUUUAUCCCUUGCUAUAUAGGGAUUACGUAUUCCAUAAUUUGAGUGAGAGGGGAAAAGAAAUGUUUUACGCGAUUAAUAUACAUCCCUCUUGCGUGGAAAAGAAAGGUCACUGCAUACCAAGGGCGAAAUGUGUGGGCAGGACAAUGCUGUAUAUAUCUCGUAUUUGUUACAAGAGAGAUUUGGUGUGUUGUUAUGAUAACUCUAUUAAGUUUCCUGUUGUAGCAGAACACAGUUACACUACUGUCUCCACGGAAUAUACAACAGUUUUAGGACCAUAAGGGCGUUUUUUGUAUAAGUUUUAAUGUCCGUGGAACGCGACUAUUUUACCAUUUUUGUUGAAUUAUUUAAAUAAAUAAAAUAUAAAUUUUAA
rnacentral:lncRNA from 1 species